CCUACGGGAGGCAGCAGUGAGGAAUAUUGGUCAAUGGGCGGUAGCCUGAACCAGCCAAGUAGCGUGAAGGAUGAAGGUUCUAUGGAUUGUAAACUUCUUUUAUAAAGGAAUAAAGUGAGGCACGUGUGCCUUUUUGUAUGUACUUUAUGAAUAAGGAUCGGCUAACUCCGUGCCAGCAGCCGCGGUAAUACGGAGGAUCCGAGCGUUAUCCGGAUUUAUUGGGUUUAAAGGGAGCGUAGAUGGGUUGUUAAGUCAGUUGUGAAAGUUUGCGGCUCAACCGUAAAAUUGCAAUUGAUACUGGCGUCCUUGAGUACAGUUGAGGUGGGCGGAAUUCGUGGUGUAGCGGUGAAAUGCUUAGAUAUCACGAAGAACUCCUAUUGCGAAGGCAGCUCACUAAACUGCAACUGACAUUGAGGCUCGAAAG
rnacentral:rRNA from 1 species